UGGCAGGAUGGAUGACCUAUGAUGGUGCUGAUUGGCUCAGUCAGGUCUUCCACCGGCUUUUUUCUAGGGUCCCUCCCACUUGGCCAUGUUUGCCCCUUCCCCAGUCCCCUUGCUCACCACGAAAGCGGCACAGGCAGCAGAUGCAAAGGAGGAGAAGGACGGCUAGCAGCGCCAGGCCCAGUAGGGAGCCCAGGACGAUGCCGGCGAUGGCCCCGUGGCUCAACGUGGGGCCUGGAAGAGACAAAGAGAAGAAAGAGAAGGGGAACAGGAACUAAGUCCAGGCAAGAAAGGAUGCUGUGUUUGACCAGAGCCUUGGGAUGAAGAUGGAAAAUAUUUUAGACGGAAAAUGGACCGAACUUGCUGGCGAUUAGGAUGUCAGGAGUGAUGCGGCCUCCUGGGCAACAAGAGCGAAACUCCAUCUCAAAAAAAAAAAAAGAAGAAGAAGAGGACAGAGACACACAGAGGCAGAGGUUGGAGUGACACAGCUGCAAGCCAAGGAAUGCCAAGGAUGAAACAGCUGCCACCGGGAGCUAGGAAGAGACAAAGGAGGAUUCUACACAGGGUCCCAGAGGGAGUAGGACCGUCUCAACACCUUGAUUUUAGACUUCUGACCUCCAGAUCUGUGAGAGAAGAAAUUCCCGUUGUUUCAAGCCAUGCAGUUCAUGGUACUUUGUUAGGGCAGGUCCCAGGACACUAAAACAGGGAGAGAGGGAGGAUCUGGCACAACAGACUGAGAAGGUCUACUCGGACAGCCCCAACUCACCGGCCUGGUAGACCCGGCUUUGUGAUGGAGUCCCUGGCUGGCCCCCCAGGAUGGGCAGGAUCCGAAAGGUCCAGAUCCCUGGGUUCCGAGGUGGAAGGGGCACCACAGCUGACCGCUCCUGAGGCCCCAGGAUGAGCAGGGAGACCCAGUCCUUGUAGGUGGAAGUCCUGCCCAGAUCAGGCCCAUCUGGCCAUGCCUGGAUCUCAAAACUGCUGAUUAGGGCCCCGCGCUCCACAUCCCAAGUCAGCACGGCUGCAUCUCUGGCUCUCUGAAGCCUCCACGAGGAUAUGGAGGGUCCUAGAGGUAUGUAGGAGAGGCUGGAUUCUUGGGUGCCAGA